rnacentral:tRNA from 1 species
GCGCGGGUGGUGGAAUGGCAGACACGCUACUUUGAGGGGGUAGUGGGGCGACCCGUGAGGGUUCAACUCCCUCCCCGCGCACCA